rnacentral:sRNA from 1 species
UCCUAGCCCCGAUAGCAACGGUUAUCCCGCAGCAUGCGUUGGAGAGUUUAAGGGUUUUGAGCAUAGGAAUGGGUGGCGUGAGGAGUAUGGGUGGAUAGUGGGAAACAGC